AGGUCCUUAAACAAGAUUGAGCAAUAAUGACAUUAAACUGGGAUAUGACAAUCACUACUAGGUAGGCUUAGUAGUUGGAUGACUUAGACAUGCUUUUAGCAUACUAUUGGACAUCUGGGUGGAUAGAAUAUUGGAUAGCAUUACUUGUUACAUCUUAGCACACUUGCUUGUCAUGUUGGGAUAGACUAGUCAUACUUUUGACAUACAUGUUCAUAAGAGAUUAAAUGUACAACUUAUUGUUAUCAUG
rnacentral:lncRNA from 1 species